CGGAAAUGAGCUGAGUUGGGUAGAAGCCUGGAUUUCACAUCCGGAGCUUCAGCACAAGCGACACCCUUCCGGGCCUGUGUUUUUUCUCUACCAGUUAGAAAGCCCUCUUUACCCUGUGCUCCAAGAGGAAUUCACACCUGCUCUCUUCCCGCGCUUGUGCAGUUUCAGCGUCCAGGUUUCCACUUCCUGCGCUGGCAGCCGCUUUCCUGGGGAUCCUGGGGAUGGGUGGGGUGCUGCCUCCAGGGCCCUGCUGGGCGGGGUCCCCUCCUCAUCAAGGCCUGGGGUCCAGCCUCCAUGGUGGGGCUGUAGGCAGAAGCCACAGCCUGAGGUGUGCUGCUCUCGGGGGUGACCACUGACCAGAGAGACUUCCCCACCGCCUCCCCUCUCUCCCUUGGACACCCCAGUCUCUGCUCCUGGAGCAUCCUGGGGUUUUGCCCAGAAAACCUCUGGGAGGCGGAAAGAGCCUCAGCUGUGAGCCUGCAGCUCUGGUGAUGGGAAAAUCCUCUUCGGGGAGUUCCCUGGUGGCCAAAUGGCUGGGAUGCAGGGCUAUCGCCACCGCAGCCCAGGUUCAACCCCUUGUCUGGAACUGAGAUCCCACAUCCAGCCACUGACGAUGUGGCCAAAAAAAGAGAAUCAUAUUCAUCCUUGCACCCUUUUAAAGGAGCGCGACCCUGUGUGUGUUGAUUUAACCCUAGAGGGCUGAAAACUCCGGCAGGGAGAGGAAGGCAGGGACCCAAAGUGCUCAGGGGACCCCUAGCCCCUGCUGCCUCUCCCUCCAACUCCAGGGCCACGGAUAGAAGACCCUGAGAAGGAUUUUGUCCUUAAACGGAAGGGGAGCAGGAUUUGCCGGCUUUGGCAGAAGGCUUAUUUUGAGCUAAAGGCAUCAACAUCGGGCAGCUUCAGGCAAAGUGCUUUACCUGCCCUGUGGCCACUGUGUGACGUACCAGGAGGCUGGAUGGGGAAGCGGUGUAGACUUACUGCAAACAGAGAAGCCUUUCUUUCACAUCCUUUUGUGCCCCCAGGCCCCACCCCUCUCCUUAGCUCAGGAAGUUAGAAAAGCCACAAUUA
rnacentral:lncRNA from 1 species